AGCAGCCGCGGUAAUUCCAGCUCCAAUAGCGUAUAUUAAAGUUGUUGCAGUUAAAAAGCUCGUAGUUGAAUUUCGGGAUCAUCAGGUUGGUCGUGCCUCUGGUAUGUACUGAUUUCGAUGGUUCCUCCUUCUUGAAGAGCCGUAAUGCCAUUAAUUUGGUGUUGCGGGGAAUCAGGACUGUUACUUUGAAAAAAUUAGAGUGUUUAAAGCAGGCAAUCGCUUGAAUACAUUAGCAUGGAAUAAUGAAAUAGGACGUUCGAUCCUAUUUUGUUGGUUUCUAGGAUUGACGUAAUGAUUAAUAGGGAUAGUUGGGGGCAUUAGUAUUCAAUUGUCAGAGGUGAAAUUCUUGGAUUUAUUGAAGACUAACUACUGCGAAAGCAUUUGCCAAGGAUGUUUUCAUUAAUCAAGAACGAAAGUUAGGGGAUCGAAGACGAUCAGAUACCGUCGUAGUCUUAACCAUAAACUAUGCCGACUAGGGAUCGGAUGAUGUUAUUUUUAAUGACUCAUUCGGCGUCCG
rnacentral:rRNA from 1 species